rnacentral:tRNA from 1 species
GGAGAAGUCGCCUAGUUGGUCGAGGGCGCGCGACUGGAAAUCGCGUAGGCCGUAAAAGGCCUCUAGAGUUCGAAUCUCUACUUCUCCGCCA